rnacentral:lncRNA from 1 species
UAUCUCUUUGUGCCUUUAUCUGCAUGUCCACACACAUAAUUUAGCAAGCUAUAUUUAAUUUCUGCUGUGAUUUGAGCCCUGAUUUUCAAAAUAAAUCUUUCAUCGUGUUUCUAAAAUCUUUAAUUGAAAUAAUACAUCUAGGCUAAAUUUUUAAAUCCUCUAAGAGAAGUAUAAAGAUAAAGAUUAUGGGUCCCUUAUGGGAUAGAGUAUAGAAGUAGUUACUUCUAAAAGGUCCUAUUCAUACAAUUUUAUAAAUAUAAAUAUACAUAUAUAUAUAUAUAUAGAGAGAGAGAGAGAGAGACAGAGAGACAGAGAUGGAGAGAGAGAGAGAGAUGUACACGUGUGUAUAUGUGUUUAUGUAGAUCACUUAUUACACAAUACCAAUUCUAGUGUUAUUUGGUCUUUAAGAUCAAAGAAUAAAAACUUUUGAGGUCCUGCUAAAGUGAAAGAACACUAAAUUUCCUUACCCUUACAGCCCAAGUACUAAUGUACAAAUAACAAUGAAUUUAACUGCUACAAGAAUUCACAGGGUAAUUAAAUGAAUGUAAGUUUUAAUCACCGCCAUCUGGUGCCAGCUAAGGAAAUCACAUUUGCCAAAGCUUAUCACUAACCAGAGGGAUCAUGUAUUGUUUUCUGUUUCCAACACCCCCUUGCAGCUCCAAAGAGAGAAUAGACUUUUCUGAGAACUGUCCCUUCCCUAUUGUAUCCAAGGAUAUACACCUACAGAAAUCUCAGAGGUAGGAAAAAAUGAGCCAUGUAAGAUGAUAGCAGUUCUCCAUUUGAUAACAGCUUCUGGAAGCAUGAUGAGAGAGGCUUAGGUUCUUCUGGAUCAGGAAUCUCUGGGGCCCAGGCCCUAGCAUCAUUGGUGCCAACAAGAGGUAACAACACAAAUGGUAUGUCUGCUAAACAGUCCUGUGAUAUGAUUGACAUUUCUCUGAAUAUAUUGUUUCUGCCUAUAUUAUUCUGAUUAUACAGUUUAGAAGCCUAGUUCCCUGGCCCUCCUGGAAAUUUACUGAUUAACACCCUUUGUAUUUUCAUUUGAAAUGGAUAGAGUGAAUUUUGCUAUCUACAAUUAGAAUUCAAUAGCAUGCAGUUCUAUAUGUUUCUAACAAAAGCUGUCAUAGGGAAAAUCACUUCACUAAUGUUAACUGAAAUUAUAUUUUUAAACAAAUAACUUGUGAUACACUCUUGCAGAAAAUUACUAGAGAAUUUUUGUGAUUGAAAAUUCCUUUGAAAAUAACUGACAGAGAUAUCAUGGGCAUUUGAAAAUCACUUUUCAGUUUAUAAAAAUACUUUCUUGCACUUAAACUUUUUUCCUUUACUUAUAAAUACAUUAAAUGCAAAACUUGUAAAUUUUUGCAAUUGAAUGAGCUUAAAUCAAUUAUUUAAAAUUGUAUCUCAGCAAAUAGGGAAGUUGGAGUUACAACAUUAGCUUUGACCUCAAAUAUUUAAAUUCAGCAAAUGAUUCUUGAUAUUGGGUUCUAAACAACAGUUUUAAUUCCAUGUUAUGUUAGCCAUUAUGCUAAGUGCCAUAGGGAUAUUCGGGUGUCUCAGAUGAAAGCUUUAACCUCAAAUAAAUCUAAUACAGUUGGGGUAGCA